rnacentral:rRNA from 3 species
AAACUUUCAACAACGGAUCUCUUGGCUCUGGCAUCGAUGAAGAACGCAGCGAAAUGCGAUAAGUAAUGUGAAUUGCAGAAUUUAGUGAAUCAUCGAUCUUUGAACGCACAUUGCGCCCCUUGGUAUUCCGAGGGGCAUGCCUGUUCGAGCGUC